rnacentral:piRNA from 1 species
AUAGUGAGCUUGAGCUGGCCUGGA